AGUGAACGCUGGCGGUAGGCCUAACACAUGCAAGUCGAACGGCAGCACAGUAAGAGCUUGCUCUUACGGGUGGCGAGUGACGGACGGGUGAGGAAUACAUCGGAAUCUACUUUUUCGUGGGGGAUAACGUAGGGAAACUUACGCUAAUACCGCAUACGACCUACGGGUGAAAGCAGGGGAUCUUCGGACCUUGCGCGAUUGAAUGAGCCGAUGUCGGAUUAGCUAGUUGGCGGGGUAAAGGCCCACCAAGGCGACGAUCCGUAGCUGGUCUGAGAGGAUGAUCAGCCACACUGGAACUGAGACACGGUCCAGACUCCUACGGGAGGCAGCAGUGGGGAAUAUUGGACAAUGGGCGCAAGCCUGAUCCAGCCAUACCGCGUGGGUGAAGAAGGCCUUCGGGUUGUAAAGCCCUUUUGUUGGGAAAGAAAAGCAGCAGGUUAAUACCCCGCUGUUCUGACGGUACCCAAAGAAUAAGCGCCGGCUAACUUCGUG
rnacentral:rRNA from 1 species